AAAAAAAAUGAAUGUUCUUCUCUGCCUCAUUGACGAGUGGCCCAUUUCGAACAGACGGUCGCCAGUCUUAGCCAGACAGCACGCGAAAGUAACGCCGACUUCCCAUAAACCAGAUCCAUUUCACCAGCCGCCCGCAGACAUAUUAACAAGUCGUCCGUGAUGACGGGUGGGAAAGGCGCAGGGACGUCUCAGCCCCCUACUCCGCCAAAGCACUGCGAGGGCGAGGAACUCGACUCCGCUGCCUGGACCCCGAGUCCCCAGGGAUCCCAGCGCACCCUCCCGCCGCCCCGGGGAUGCAUGAUGCCGGGGGGGGGGGUGGAAUGGAUGAGUACACCCGCCACCUCCGCCUCGGCCCUACGGGAGUCGCCCCGAGUGGGUGUCCCUCUCUCCGAGGGGCAGGUUCUGAGGGUGGGAGCAUCCCCCGAUGCCCGCGGAGCCGCGGUACGACUGGGCGGGGGACGGGCGCGGCGGCAGACCUGCGGUGCGUGGCUCGGGGCUGCAGCAGCGCCCUCUCCUCCCUUCACCUCGCUCCCCGCCCCGCGGGGCGCCCGCCUCCGCCCCCGCCGCGGCGGGAGGCUCUCGGCCGGGGCGGUGGGCGCGGGGGGAGCGCUGAGGCUGGAAAGGUGAGUGCUCGGAUUGUUGGAGCGCCGGUCUCAUGGUCUCGAUCCGCGCCUACUGAGAUGAAGCUGCCAUUUGUGAGCUGGUGAGCUGUGAGUGACGAGCGUAGGAAAAGAGAAGAACAAGAUGUCCAAUAUUGUGCUGAAUGAAAACUGCUGUGAACUUUACAAGAACUGAAAAAAAAAAAAAAUCACCUAAUCAAUGGUUUCAGUAAUUUAUGACAAAAUUAUGAGAAAGAAAUGGAAACCAGCCUAUAGAAGAGAGACAGAGGAACAAGAGGACCAACUGUCUGAUGACUUCAAAUUCUGACCAGAGAAGACUCUUUAAGUGCAUAGCUCAGAGGAGCAGGACUUGGGAGGUCUGACCUGUAGAGGCGUUCCUGUCAUCAGUCUGUCCAGUUACCUUGAUAGUAUCAUCUGAUCCUGAGUGUCACGGCCCAGGAGGAGCUAAAUCUCCACAGGUCUCUUAACAACACACCAAGAGCUGCAAUCUUGACUGACUUAAUACAUUUAAAUUUCUCUUAUGGAGAACUGGAUUUGAAGUACUUGGGAUUAUAAUCGAAAUGAAUUUGAUGGUUCAGCUCAGCCUCUAAUGGAUUACAGUAUGAAUGUCAUCAACUUCAUAUAUACAGUUAAAAGUGUGAUCUUGUUCCAAAUUUAGAGGUUUGGAAUGGAACAGAGUGGCUGAAGUCCAUCUUCUGAUCCCAGAAAGAAUGCAGAGAGGGAAUUAAUGUCAGUCUUCAUUUAGAAGAGUUUAUUUGCUGAACACCUGCUUUCCUGACAUGGGAAGACAUCAAGUGAAAUCUGAAGAAACAUUUAAAAAUAUCAAAUUAGCCACAAGUUAUGAAUCAUGAUUUAUAAUGAAAUGGAAUGAAAUGUUAAUAUGCAAAGCCUUAGAAAAAAUGUUUCGGCUGUUAAUUGUCUUUCUCUAUUUUCAGAUGCUUUAGGUACCCUGUACCUGUAAAUAGAAUUGUGUGAAGUAUGGGUGAAACUGCAACUGAAAAAAUAAAACAAAAUGUUGAGACAAUAACGCAUACCUUCUUUAAGAAGAAGAUUUACUUUAGCAGCAUCUGUGUUUUUCCUUUGUAACAUGUCUUCACUAUCGACAUCAGUGCUGAGUUUGGAGCUGCAAAUUGAGGAACUGGGAACUCUGAUCUUGUGGAAGGUCCACAUGAAGAUAAAUGAGGAGGAUAUUCUUAUUUAUGCUCACCUAUUCACCCUUGAAAAGAGAGGCUUCUAUCCAUAAUUUAAUAUGUAUGAAACAUUAAACUAAUUACAGAGCCCAUACCAGAAAAAAGGUUCAGUCACCUGUUGGGAAAGUGAUAAACAGUGGUUCUGCUCACAUGAACAACAGCUGAUCUGUGGCUGAAGAUGUGUUGAGUGCCUUGGCAAUCAAGGGGACAGAGCUGGACACCAACUGUGAAUGCUCUAACAAAAUCCAUAGACAUUUGUUUCAUAGGAGUUGGAACUUAUCACUGUAGAAAAUGUCAUCACAGAUCUAAUUAACACUGGCCAAUAUCUUACUUAAUAACAGUGCUAACCUAUAUCACUAUUUUCAUAUUCAUCAGUGCUCCUAAUGCAUCAUUCUUUGGCAUCAAAAAGUUUAGGUCAAAAGCCAGAAUCAAAGAUUUCUAGUGUCACAGUGGAUAACAUAACCUUUUCUGUAUUUUACAAAGUCAGAGAAAAUUCUCUGUCAAAUGUAAUUUGCUCCAGUCAACCUCAUUAUGUGGUCAAAAGGUGGAAAUAUAAGGCAGAGACAAGGCUGGAAAAUUCUGACAGUGAACAGAGGCUAGAGAACUGAUGUUUACACUGUUCUGUCCAAAGGCUCAUAAGUUAGAAGCUCAUCUUCCACUGCAGUCUGGCUUUGCUAUACUUUUUUUGUUAUUGUUGCUAUGCUCUUAUACUGCCAACAAAGCAGAUUGUUUAUGAACUGUCUGCCUGAGUACACAGCUUAUACACUUGCACUACUGUUGGGAUUUUCAUUCUGUGCAUAGCUGGAAAUAACUGCUGGACAAUUUUCACAGCCACAUUUCUCUAGUUAUUGCAUCUGAUGUGUGACUCAGACUUCACCAUUUAUACACAACUUUAUUUUGAUAUGUUGCUGAAAUUCUCAUAUUUCAGUGGACAAGCAUAAGAAUUGAAGGAUUUCUUCCCACAGAAGACCAAUUAUCCCAGCCUUGAACUUGAGUUUAAAUAGAGUCACAAUAAUUCUUAAGCAAGCUUCAAGAUGAUGUUAUUGUUUUAAGCUUAAGUAAAUUUUUGUUAGGUUUCAAGUAGCUUCUAGCUAUUUCUCUCCAAGGAGCAGAGAACUCUUACUGACUUUAGAAUUCUUGACUUAGGACAUAUAUUAAUAUUUGAUUUAAUUUUAAGAGAUACUGAAUAAAAGGUGUAAAUGUCAUGUAGAUUUCAGGGUAUAUUACUUAUACAAUCAAUCUCUAUUGAAAUUGAUUACAUAAUCAAUGAACCAUUAUGAAGUUCUUGGUAAUGGAAGAUUGCAGCCACAGCUUUGUACUCAGACAUCCCGGGCCAAACAGGUACAUUGUAGAUAACCCAUUUUGCCUCUGUUUACUGUCUGAAACAUCCGAUGUGCUAAAAUAUUGGAUUGGCUUGAGAAGAAAAAAAAUAUAUAUAUGUAUAAUCUUCAGCACUUUCAGCAUUCCUAGAUCUGAUAAUGAACACAGUGGCCUUAGAAAUCCUGAUAAUCCUUAUGAUUAAUUACAUACAACAUCAGUUUUUAGUGAUGUUUUCCAUCUAGUCAUUUAUUGCUCGAGUUUUUAAUUAUUUGUACUAAUAUAAACAUAAGAAUAAACUUAAAUUUGAUCAAGUACAGCUAAAUCCGUUUAUUUCUUCCACUGAGCUGCUAGAUGGACAUAACAUGUUGUGGGUAGAUUGGCAUACUGACAGCUGCACUGCUUCCCAAGAAGAGAGGGAGAGUGUACUGUCUUCACUUGUUUCAGAAGAAAUGGAAAAUCUUUUAGAAGAUAAUGAUGAACUAUAAUGAUAGGUAAGAAAGUAUGAUGCAAAUUAUCAAGCCGACUUUCAGUUCAGGCUGCUUUGUAGACUUCAUCAACACAACCAGCACAAAAAGGGCAGAUAAAAGGUGAACACAGAUUCUCAGUGCUACCCUUUAUUUUGGAAAAAUCUAUAGCCACCAUCUCAGAAAGAUGAUUUUUGUGCAUGAGGACCACUGACUCAUUUAAAGAGCUGAUACACAGAACGAAUUACAGACUUUGUAUACAAGGAGAGGCAUUUGGGUUGAUUUGAUUUAUACUCCUGGGGGAACUGGGUUUGUUCUGUGAAGAACUGAGAAUGCCCACAUGCCAAAGGCACACAGUGAUUUAUAGAGCCUCUGCAUUCUUGAUCUGAAUCCUUAAUAUUAUGCCAAUCUAGAGAAGAGUAGCUGGUCUGCAUUUUGCCUGGAAAACAUAUGUGAGGAGGCAGCAAAGCUGCUCCACAGAAUGAUGCUAAUGAGAUUGCUGCAGGUAGAUGGUGUGAGAGGAGAAGAUUCAUUUGAUAGAGACAGCUGUUUUUGACCCCAGUCACAAAUAUCAGCUUCCAACUGUUGUAAAUUUAGCCAUCUAUAGCAUACUGCUGCAUAUAAAGCACCUCUGAUAAAAGGACUGGUGGUUUGCCACAAAAACAAACAAACAAACAAACAAACAAACAAAUCUGUAACCUAUCCUUCUGCCCUUCCCAGUGGUAAUUCUGUGUUUAAGUCCUACUUGGACCCUGAUGAGGCCAGUCUGUUCCAUAGAGACUGGUCAGUUCUUGCUGCAGGACAAAGGUGGGAUUGCCAUACUCCUUCCUGCCCUCCUCAGACCCAGACAUGUAAGAUUUUUCUAGUUUUUCAUAUGAACUCUGAACCAGAUUAUAUUUCUGUUAAUAAAAAAAAAAAAAAAAAAAAAAAAAAAUUAUUUUCUUUCCUUAGGCUUUGCCUGACCCCAGUCUUCAAAGGUGGGAGGUUAUAUCACAGAUUUUGGAAAAAAGGAAUAUCAUUACAGGGUGUCCUCUUACCACCUACCUUCCUCAAUUCACUGGUAUUUUCUUUGCAUAUUACUUUCUAAGUGCUGUCUUUUAUUUGGCUUUUGCUGAACUAAUAUCUGACUAAUUCAGUGAUCUUUAGAGUUAAACUAUCAAAACAGUUAAAAUAGUUAAAUCAAAAUUUACCAGCCUAUUCAAAUUUACUUGGUACAUUAGCUAUCUAAAGAUUUCAUAUUGCAUACACACUUAGCUUCUAACUCAAGAAAGUCAUUUGAACAUCAAAGAAAUGCUGAAUUGUUUAUUGAUUUCUUAAUUAUUCGGUGCUUGAGGUUAUUUCUUCAUGUUCCACUAUGUUGUUGUGGGGAUUUUUUCCACUUGAAAGUUUAAUAAACCAAAAUUUUAAAAACGAAGCAAUAUUUAGCCAUAGUAAGGGCAAGACUGUGAUCCUGAAAUCUUGUUUUUCAAAUAUUUUAUCUGUUAAAUCCUCAUUGAGGGAAUAUUUCCUCAUUCAGGUAGUUAGCUUUAAUUUUACAAAUUUGCAUAAUGUGUGUGUAUGUAAAUACAUACAUAUACUCAUCUAUGCAUGUGUACCAGGACUCAAUUCUAUGGUAGAGAAGCAGAGCAAAAGCAGUUGUGAGGUAAACCUUGCAGUUUUACUUUUGUGAAUCAAAAGUGUCUGAUCUUGUUCAAUACUUUUUAUGGAGCAACAUGCAUAAGCAGUGACAGGUAUCAAAGAAGAGAGGAUGCCUUUUCCAAAGUGUUUUCCAGACCAAGUACAACUUUCCUGGACUGUCUUUUAUUUCUUAUAGUACUAAUGAACUAAUCUUACUGAACCACCUUUUGUGGAACCACUGAACAACUGUAGUAUUAUCUUUAAAAUGCUCACUUCAAUUAUGAAUGUCCAUUUACUUAUGUAAGCAGAAAUACUACUAUUUUAAAAAUUAUUUUAUUUUGCGUUCAUUUAAAUUAGUGGAAUUCCAGUGAUGCAGUUUCAAAAAUGUAAGAAAUGUAAUAUUGAACAUCUACCACAUUGUGUUAUUAGCACAACUAAUGGAAUAAUUUAAACCAGUUAAUUGAUUUGUCAAUUUUUCUUCUAUUUUUUUUUCUUUUCCCUUUUUCAUUAUGUUAGAUAAAGCUGGUCACAUAAGAGUCAGCAAAUUAUAUAAUUGAAUUUAACUAUGUAUAGUUGAAUGAUGAUGAUGUUGUUUUCAUUUGAGCCACUAAUUAUGGCUUGCCCAGUUGUUUCACAUUCUAAUUAACAUCAUACUUCAAAAUAAACAAACAAACAAAAUGUGUUAAUUUCACAUACAGUCACUACUUAAAAUAAUCUUUGCCUAUUGUGGUAAAUAAGAUAAAUCAAAGCGCAUCUUUAACUGUCAGUGUCCAAAAUGGAGUGAUACUGUAGAACAGUAUUUUCCUGUUAUUUGACUUAAUUUGAUUUAGACAACUCCAUAGUGUUAAAUAAUUUGCUGAAUAAUGAUUCUUAUGGAAGUAAGAAAUCAUUUGCAUUAGCUUGAUCCAAGUAUCAUUGCCAAAAGCAAACCUGUUCCACAACGUCCCCCCUAUUCCAUUUCUUGGUUCCUUAGAGAACAGUACUCUACAAUUACACUCUACUGCCAAAUUAUGUACAAGAGUAGUUUUGUGAUAUAGACAAAUGCCAACUAAGGACUAAUUUGAGACCAUUAAGCUAAUUUCACUUAUGACCCAAACCAGAUUUAAACCUAGGCCCUGUGAAGGUGACAGGCGAGUAUAUUAACUUAUGGUACUACGAAACUUGCUCUAGGGCAGGAAGAUUUCAAUAACAUUAGAAAAAAAAUCUCUUAAAAUUGAAAUAUGAAUAAUUCACAAAACAAGAAACCUCAACUAAUAGUCUCUGUUCAUAUUCAAUACUACUGUGACCUGCAGGCUAUAUUACAGAAAUGUGUUUUAUCUCACGUUACUUUUGCAGCAAACUGUGUGGCAUAUUCCUCCUUUUAAAGAAGGCCUCAGUAUAAUUUUUCCACAUUUUUUAUGCACAGAAAAACCCAUACUUUUUAAAUGAUUGUGCCUUACUAUUAGUCAUCAGAGAUUGAGUCUUGCAAAGCUCUCUGGAUGAAAUUUUCUGGGAGACGAGUCCACUAGUCUGACCUUAUGUGUCAUUUAUACACAAAAGGUGUUGUGUUAAAGCAGACAUUAAACUAAUGCAUUAUGAUGUCCAGCUCUUUAAUACUCCAAAUUUAGAAAUCUGGUUUAAGACCUGGAAUUCAAGGGUAGUUAGGCACCUAAAUUUCACAAGCCCUGUACAGCUUAGCUUAUACAGUGCUUUUACAGUUAAUAACCUGUUAAGUGGUAGAGCAUACUGGUCUACAUGAAUGUAUGUGUCUCUUUCAGGGCAGCAAGUGAGUAUUACCAUCAAAAGGUUUUACAGUCUGAAGCAGCUUUCUCUACUAAAUCUUAGAAAAGCAUGAUGGCAUUUGUACCUUCAAUCGUUUCUCUGUUUUUUAAAUUAAUUGUCAAUUAUGAAAAUGUAAAUAAUAUUCUGCGUUAGUAUUUUGAUCCAGAUCAGGAAAGUUUUAAAAUUUUCCUACUUGCCGCACAUUGGGAUGUAUUGUGCAGUGUUAUAAAGCUCAUGAACUGGAUUAAUUUUGGGAUUAAACUGGACUGGAAGAUGGGCUACUGGAGAGUAGCUCCUGAAUAUCUGGUCCAUGCCACUAGACUAGAUCUCACCUUGUGUAAAGUCCAUUGAAUUUUUUAUCAUUUUUGCAACUCUUUUGCUCCAAAGAUCCGGUUCUAUUGGCCCACACUGCUCAGAAACAUAGGCACAACCAGAUAUAGAAGAAACCUCAGGUCUCUGCUCUCAGCUAAGUAUGUAAAAAUUGAGCUAUAGAGCCAGGAUUGCUUUUGCUGGCUGGACUUGUGGUUUGAUGAUCCUAUUUACUUGACUGACUAGUGUUUCAGAUUCAGGAAGGAACUGGGAAUUCAAAAAGUCUUGGGAAGUCUUUUACUCAAAGUGUUUUAUAAGCUGUCAUCUGAAUGCUGUGUUGGAAAGUCAUAAAUUAAAAUUGCUGUGUCAGAACUGGACAUAAUGUGUUGGGUUUUUACCUCAUAAGUAAGGGCCUCCACCAUAUAUUACACAGUGCAAAUACCCUGCUACUAUGAUCUCUUCAUUUCCAAACAGUUAAGGAGCUUUUGCUUGAACCAUGGAGUCUAGACAAGAUUUUUCUGAACUUUUCUUACUAAAAUGUGUGCAUAUGCUUGAGUAGCAAGAGCUCUGAGUCCUAUGACUUAUAUUACAUGUAACUGAAUCAACAUUAAAUUUUCUUGAUUAACUCAGUCUUAGCUAACACUAUUCAAUUUU